CAACUACGGAGAUUUCUCGCUGUUGCCGUCGCUCCUCAGAUUCCCGGAGGGCGUUGAGCAGGGAGGUGUGUUGUUCCUGAUUUGCAUCCUCACGUCCCUCACUAAUUGACAUCCGACGCCCUGUAUUUCCAAGGGUUCGGCAAGGCCUCCUCCACGAAGAGACGCAGCGCCUCUCGACUCAGGACGUAGCCGCCACCUGCAAGACAAGAUUUGUGAUCAGUCGGUUGGGAAGGAAAUAAAUAAUCCCAUCGCUUACUGCUGAAACCUCCUCCUGCUGCUGCUGCUGCUGCGUCUCCUGCUCCUGGUGGUCUCGAUCUAUGAGAAAAAACUGGCGAUGGACUAAGCAGGGAGGAAGAAAGAGACAUACAGACGUAGAGAUGUUUAGGACUUGCCUUUGCUGCCGUGAAAGCCCGCACUACAACCAAGGAGGACCCAUGUAGUUUAGCACGAGAAGUAUCAGUUUUGUUGUGUAAUAGAAAAAGAUCGAGUCUUUAGGUUAUGUUAGGUUUACGAUAACUAAGGUCAUAUUCUUCAACAUUUCGACACUCAAGCACACGCAUUCAACAAGGCUUUCGCAGGAUUUGUGGGCAUUUCCAUGGGUAGUUUUAUGACCCUUGUGGUAGUUUGACAAAGUUUCUGCAUCAUGAAAGUACAGAGCCGCCCAUGAGGAAGCGUUUAACUCUUUUUUUUUGACCUUUAGAAAUGAUUAGUGUAAGAGAGGGAAACGUCUAAGAAUAAUGGCCUUAGUUUCCAGCGUGUUGUAGUUGCCACGUCAUCAGCCUCCCAAAGCUUGCCACGCCGCGCCUCGACACCGCACCUGUCCCGCCCCGCCGCUCUUCCGUCUUCCUGAAAACGAACAUACUCCUAAUAUUUACAGUGUUCUGCUUUGUUGUCGCUGCUCUUCUUAUAUACGAAUUUCGCUUCAUUUUGUUGACUCGCAGUGUGGCAAAGCACCCGCGACUCAUCACGCAUUGCAGGUGAUAUUAUAGAUAAGACACGUGGCUGUAGAUGUGCUUGUGGUGGUUUGACACGAUAGCUUAUCAUUGCUUACUUGUUACACUUUAAAGUAAAAUAAUUCACCCGGUAUCACGAAGAAGCACGGUGCGUCCACGUGUUCGGCAAUGAUAUAUUUUCUCUGAAUAAAAAUUUUGUUCAGGGUAUUUACAUUUUCCAUUGCGUAUUUGCAUACUCCAUUUAGUUUUCCAUCAAUUUCGACAGCUUGUCUGAACACUUGCGACUAUAAUUAUGGACCUAAAAUCAUACAGAGCGUGCACUUCUUGCUCGAGGCGUCCAAACGUAGCGAGGCAUUAUACUCGCUCUGUCUUUGAACCUGAAUGACACGACACCCAUCAAUGUAAUUUUCUUUAGGCCGUCUGCGCUAUCCAAAUAACAAGACCACACUGGGAGCUGCCAAGUACCUCCACUCUAAUAUAAUAUGGCCAACAAUGUAACGAUUAACAAGAAUCAUUUUUUCUAAGCAAUGAGGCGGGACAGAACUGCGAAGUGUUAUGUAAAAGAUAGAUUCAGCAAGUGCUUUAUUCUCUUCACUAGAAUCUAACGUAAUAUCGAUGUGCUUUUUAUUCACUAGCACCAGUAUCUAACGUAAUAUCGACGGCUCGUGGCAGGCUCAGGUGAAGCGCGGCGUGUACUAACAAGCGAGUGUGUUGCGCGAGGGAUGGCAGUGUGCUGAUGUGCGUGGUACAGUAGUGCUCGCCAGGCAUAGUGACAGAUGGUGAUAGGGACGGUGCACGGCCUCCAGUGGUCUUCCAAGGCAUGGGUUGUGGAGUCACGGGGCACGAUAUGUCGCCUGAGUCCGGCUCCGUCACUGCGUGGGAGUCUUGUUUGAAACACCAUAACCGGCCAGUCACCAAGUCUGACGCGCCUAGAUGGACACCACUGCGGACGCCGAGGAUUAGUUGAGGCAGAAAGAACUCCGUCGAUGGACACCAUUGCGGACGCCGAAGAUUAGUUGAGGCAGAAAGAACUCCGAAGACUGUUGACACCUGGGGAAUGUAGUAGUCUUUGUCGUCCACAGCACAGCCCCUCGAAAGCCACGACCUCUGGAAAGAAGGAAAAAAAGGGAUUAGCUCCUGGUCAUAUUGAAACUCUCUUUGAUCUAUUAUAUCAUUAAACCUGCCUUUCAUAUU